ensembl:misc_RNA Metazoa_SRP Metazoan signal recognition particle RNA
GCCAGGCGUGGUGGCGCAUGCCUGUAAUCCCAGCUACUCAGGAGGCUGAUGCAGGAGAAUCACUUGAACCUGGGAGGCAGAGGUUGCAGUGAGCUGAGAUUGCGCCACUGUACUCCAGCCUGGGUGAUAGAGUGAGACUCUGUCUCAC